rnacentral:rRNA from 1 species
AAUUACUGGGCGUAAAGCGCGCGUAGGCGGUUAAGUAAGUUAAUUGUGAAAGCCCAAAGCUCAACUUUGGAAUUGCAAUUAAAACUACUUAGCUAGAGUUUAUCAGAGGAAAGCGGAAUACAUAGUGUAGAGGUGAAAUUCGUAGAUAUUAUGUAGAACACCAGUUGCGAAGGCGGCUUUCUGGGAUAACACUGACGCUGAGGUGCGAAAGUAUGGGUAGCGAAGAGGAUUAGAUACCCUCGUAGUCCAUACCGUAAACGAUGAUUGUUAGAUGUUGGAAAUUUAUUUUCAGUAUCACAGCUAACGCGUUAAACAAUCCGCCUGGGGAGUACGACCGCAAGGUUAAAACUCAAAUGAAUUGACGGGGACCCGCACAAGCGGUGGAGCAUGUGGUUUAAUUCGAAGCUACGCGCAGAACCUUACCAACACUUGACAUGUCUGUCGCGGAUUCCAGAGAUGGAUUCCUUCGGUUCGGCCGGACAGAACACAGGUGCUGCAUGGCUGUCGUCAGCUCGUGUCGUGAGAUGUUGGGUUAAGUCCCGCAACGAGCGCAACCCCUACUUCUAGUUGCCAUCAGGUUAAGCUGGGCACUCUAGUAGGACUGCCUGUGAUAAGCAGGAGGAAGGUUGGGAUGACGUCAAGUCCUCAUGGCCCUUACGUGUUGGGCCACACACGUGCUACAAUGGCAGUGACAAUGAGAUGCUAAACAGUGAUGUUAGGCUAAACUCAAAAACCUGCCUCAGUUCGGAUUGCACUCUGCAACUCGAGUGCUGAAGCUGGAAUCGCUAGUAAUCGCUCAUCAGCG